rnacentral:rRNA from 1 species
AUUGAACGCUGGCGGCAUGCCUUACACAUGCCAGUCGAACGGCAGCACGGGGGGUAACCCCUGGUGGCGAGUGGCGAACGGGUGAGUAAUAUAUCGGAACGUGUCCUGUAGCGGGGGAUAACCUAUCGAAAGAUGGACUAAUACCGCAUACGACCUACGGGUGAAAGCGGAGGACCGCAAGGCUUCGCACUAUAGGAGCGGCCGAUAUCGGAUUAGCUAGUUGGCGGGGUAACGGCCCACCAAGGCGACGAUCCGUAGCUGGUCUGAGAGGACGAUCAGCCACACUGGAACUGAGACACGGUCCAGACUCCUACGGGAGGCAGCAGUGGGGAAUUUUGGACAAUGGGCGCAAGCCUGAUCCAGCCAUGCCGCGUGAGUGAAGAAGGCCUUCGGGUUGUAAAGCUCUUUCGGCGGGGACGAAACGGUUCGUGCUAAUACCACGGACUACUGACGGUACCCGCAGAAGAAGCACCGGCUAACUACGU